UACGUAGGGUGCGAGCGUUGUCCGGAAUUAUUGGGCGUAAAGAGCUCGUAGGCGGUGUGUCACGUCGGCCGUGAAAACCUGCAGCUUAACUGUGGGCGUGCGGUCGAUACGGGCAUCACUGGAGUUCGGCAGGGGAGACUGGAAUUCCUGGUGUAGCGGUGAAAUGCACAGAUAUCAGGAGGAACACCGGUGGCGAAGGCGGGUCUCUGGGCCGAUACUGACGCUGAGGAGCGAAAGCGUGGGGAGCAAACAGG
rnacentral:rRNA from 1 species